rnacentral:antisense_RNA from 1 species
CCACCAUACGACUGGAAUCACACAUACACCGCCACAAGAGGUCUGCAGUGAAGGUCCCAGAGUCCCAGACAAGUCCCCUCUUGUUGCCCAGGCUGGAGUGCAGCAGCAUGAUUACAGCUCACAUCAGCCUCGACCUCCCGGGCUCAAGCUAUCCUCCUACCUCAGCCUCCCAAGUAGCUGGGACUAUAGAUAAGACUGAAAGCAACACCAGCCAGUCUUGGGAAAUAUAAAAUUGCAAAUAAAUUUUGAUAAUUUUUCAUUUUGUAAAGGAUCUUUCUGCUGAUGCAGCUGUUAAGAGUGUUUCAUAAACUGUGACACUGAGCAAAAUCAUAGAAGGAAACUCUAUGGACAAUUUCAGAUGGAGAAGAAGAAAGGAUUGGAAGUUCAAUUUGGCCAUGACAAUUAGAGGCCAGGUGCAGUGCAUGUAAUCCCAGCACUUUGGGAGACUGAGAUGGGAAGAUCGCUUGAGGCCAGGAGUGCAAGACCAGCCUGGGCAACAUAGCAAGAACUUGACUCUACUAAAAAAAAAAAGGAUCCUUCAACUUCAACAAUAACAACACGAGGGAAGUGAAGAAAAACACUUUCUAAGGAAAUCUCUCUCUGAGCUACCAUCCGGCUAGGGAGAGCCUGAAAGCAGAAUGCUGACUUGACUAGCUCUGGCCAAUAAAGGAAAUCACCAGUGGAAAGGCUACCAGGGGGCUUCCUCAAAAGAGAGGGACGGU